GCUCCCGCUGCAGCUCCGGCUCCGGCUCCGGCUCGCCCUCAGCAGGCGCCGCGCUGGGGCAUUGUGCGCUGCCAGCCGCGCCGCUUCCACCGUUUAUCUUGCUUGGAUUCACCUUCAAGAGAUUUCCGGACCCAUCAACCAGCAGCCGCCGCAGACGGGGGAGUCUUUUACAUCAUUAUCUCGGAGAGUAGGUUAUUAUGGAGAAGAGUCGCCUGUUGGGACAGAGCUUUCUACCCAAUCAGGGAAGAAAGGAGCAGGCGACAACAGCAAACGUUUGAAUUUUCACCUGGAAAGAAUGAAAAGGAGCCAAGCUGCGGAUCUCCGAGUAAUUGACUGAGAUUUCAGAGGGCGAGGACAGGACUACAAUGCGGACCCUACAAUGCGCACCCCGGCACCGCUCGUCCCCAGGCCAGGCACGGCCAUGCGAGCCGGGCCCUGCAGGAGGGGCUGCCCCAGCCCUGUCCCUGUCCCUGUCCCUGUCCCUG
rnacentral:lncRNA from 1 species